AGAGAUUGAAGGAGUGGUGGCAAGGCUUCAUAAUGAUGGAGUAUCUGGGAUAGCACAAUCUAAACUACACCAGCCUCAAAUUUCGGCACUUGGAGAAACAACUUUACCUCAAGUUCGACAAGAACCACUAGUUCUACAACAUAAGGAGCCUCGAGUUAGCCUUCCAGAUAAGUUUGAUGGAACACGUUCCAAGUUUCGAG
rnacentral:lncRNA from 1 species